rnacentral:tRNA from 1 species
GGCUUCGUAGCUCAGUCUGGUCAGAGCACUGGACUCUUAAUCCAGGUGUCGCGGGUUCAAAUCCCGUCGAGGCCA